rnacentral:rRNA from 1 species
UACGAAGGGUGCAAACGUUGCUCGGAAUUAUUGGGCGUAAAGCGCACGUGGGCGGUUUGGAAAGUCGGAUGUGAAAUCCCUCAGCUCAACUGAGGAAGUGCAUCCGAAACCUCCAGACUUGAGUACUAAAGAGGAUCGCGGAAUUCCCGGUGUAGAGGUGAAAUUCGUAGAUAUCAGGAGGAACACCAAUGGCGAAGGCAGCUCGCUGGGACGGUACUGACGCUGAGACGCGAAAGCGUGGGGAGCAAACAGG